rnacentral:rRNA from 1 species
AUUGAACGCUGGCGGCAGGCCUAACACAUGCAAGUCGAACGAGUGGCGGACGGGUGAGUAAUGUCUGGGAAACUGCCCGAUGGAUGGGGAUAACUAGUGGAAACGGUAGCUAAUACCGCAUACCAUCGGAUGUGCCCAGAUGGGAUUAGCUAGUAGGUGGGGUAACGGCGCACCUAGGCGACGAUGCCUAGCUGGUCUGAGAGGAUGACCAGCCACAGUGGAACGGAGACACGGUCCAGACUCGUAAGGGAGGCAGCAGUGGAGAAUAUUCAACAAUGGACGGAAGGCUGAUGCGGCCAUGCCGCGUGUAUCAAGAAGGCCUUCGUGUUGUAGAGUACUUUCAGCGGGGAGGCGUUACUCGAAGAAGAAGCACCGGCUAACUCCGUGCCAGCAGCCGCGGUAAUUC